AUUGAACGCUGGCGGCAUGCCUUACACAUGCAAGUCGAACGGCAGCGGGCCUUCGGGUGCCGGCGAGUGGCGAACGGGUGAGUAAUGCAUCGGAACGUGCCAUUGAGUGGGGGAUAACGUAGCGAAAAGUUGCGCUAAUACCGCAUAUUCUGUGAGCAGGAAAGCAGGGGACCGCAAGGCCUUGCGCUCUUUGAGCGGCCGAUGUCAGAUUAGCUAGUUGGUGAGGUAAAGGCUUACCAAGGCGACGAUCUGUAGCGGGUCUGAGAGGAUGAUCCGCCACACUGGAACUGAGACACGGUCCAGACUCCUACGGGAGGCAGCAGUGGGAAUUUUGGACAAUGGGGGCAACCCUGAUCCAGCCAUGCCGCGUGAGUGAAGAAGGCCUGGUUGUAAG
rnacentral:rRNA from 1 species